AUGGAGUAUAUACGGAUGCUU
rnacentral:snRNA from 1 species